rnacentral:tRNA from 1 species
AGGAUAAUGUAGGCUAGUUUUAGAUUGCAAAUCUCAAAUUAGGAGGUUCGAUUCCUUCUUAUCCUA